CGUUGUCCGGAUUAUUGGGCGUAAAGCGCGCGCAGGCGGAUAGGUCAGUCUGUCUUAAAAGUUCGGGGCUUAACCCCGUGAUGGGAUGGAAACUGCCAAUCUGGAGUAUCGGAGAGGAAAGUGGAAUUCCUAGUGUAGCGGUGAAAUGCGUAGAUAUUAGGAAGAACACCAGUGGCGAAGGCGACUUUCUGGACGAAAACUGACGCUGAGGCGCGAAAGCCAGGGGAGCGAACGGGAUUAGAUACCCCGGUAGUCCUGGCCGUAAACGAUGGGUACUAGGUGUAGGAGGUAUCGACCCCUUCUGUGCCGGAGUUAACGCAAUAAGUACCCCGCCUGGGGAGUACGACCGCAAGGUUGAAACUCAAAGGAAUUGACGGGGGCCCGCACAAGCGGUGGAGUAUGUGGUUUAAUUCGACGCAACGCGAAAAACCUUACCAGGUCUUGACAUUGAUGGACAGAACCAGAGAUGGUUCCUCUUCUUCGGAAGCCAGAAAACAGGUGGUGCACGGUUGUCGUCAGCUCGUGUCGUG
rnacentral:rRNA from 1 species